rnacentral:lncRNA from 1 species
UGAAAAGCCAGUCUGUUCGAGGGGGGGGGGUUAGUAGUGCAUAGGCUAAAGAAACGCUAAAAUACGGGGAGAAAUUUCAAUGAAGCCUCUUCUGUUUUUUUGAACCCCCUCAAUCCUGAUGGAGGAGAAAAGUAUUGAUCUCUCUCUUAUCUUCUCUGUGGUGUGUGCGCAGAGCUCCUCUUGUCCGUUGCUGGACACGUUUUUUUUCCUUUCCCGCUCACCGGGCAGGAGCGCAGCGCAAGCGCGAAAUCGGCCAUUUUUAUUAUGAAAAGAAAGAAGUACAGAGAGACAAAAGACGAGCAUACGUAUGUGUACUUUGAACACACACACACACACAUACACAACGUAGGCCUGACUCUAUCAGCUGAUCCAGCACAUAUAAAAAACCUCUUCUUCCGGAAGAGGAGGAGAGGAAAAAAAUUAAUCCAAGUCUCUUUUUCUAUAUCCCCCCCCCCUCUUCUUUUUUAGUUUUUGUCUCCUUGUGUAUCGUUAUACACCACAUACAGAAGAGUACCCCACCCAUUUAUCGUCGCCCCCUCUUAGGAUUUUUUGUGUGUGUGCCUUUCUCCUGGAUCUUUUUCAUGCGUUUUAUUACAUGACAGCAGAGCGCAAAACGCGGGGCGGCCGGAGCGCGCACUUAUCUAUCCCUUCCUUUUUUUUCUUAUUCUUUUCAUUUUUGAAAAAAACUUGUUUUAAAGACGCGCAGGCCUUUGCUUGAUUAUUGAUCGACUUAGUAAAAAAUCGUAUCUUUUUCUUUUCUUUUUUUUUUCGGCCGUGUUAAUGAGUCUCCCUGCCGCACCCCCGACCCACUCAUUCCAAAGAGAUGGGCGCGGGUGGAGUGCGCUCGGUAUAAAUGGGUGUAGUGGGAUAAAAAAAAAAAGGAAAUCUAAGAAAAAGAGGGAGAAAAUAAAAAAAAAAAUGAAGAAGGCAGUGAACACACUGAACAAAAUGAGAGGAGAAAUGUUUCACUGCAAAUCUAUUGAUUUUCGGUAUUUAUUAAAAUUGAAGAAGAAAAUUGUAGGCGGGAUACGUGGGGUGAUAAAGUCAACUCUAGUCUUCACACUCUUUCAAAACCCUUCACUUACACUCUCUGUUUUUUUUUUAGAUUUUCCUUCUCAAAGUCUUGAUUCUACAUCACGCAUUAUAGCUGUCGGAAAAACUCGAUUAUUUAUUCGUCGAUUGGAAAUUGCUCGUUCAUCAAUUAAAAAACGGUAAAGACACAGUCGAAGGCUUCCAGUUGGAAAAGCAGACAGUUAUCGGUUGAUUUGAUUCAACAACUCUGUCGGAUUUUCGAAACUCUUGAUUCAAAGAACAAGUGCUGCAUUCAGAAGGACGGCCACUGUUAAUCAGCUUUGCCCGCUAAUCGGUUACUGUCUCCCUUACAUAUAUACCAGACGCAAUCACGUCUUGCUAUUUUUGGCUUCCAACUAUAGUAUAGCCAACGACUAUGAUCCUUGUCCUAUACCUUUAUAAUACGAUCAUUCACGGUCAAUCGAGCUAAUGAUUCCUUGCUAUUUAUCCCUUUUUUUUUUUGUAUUGUAGGUGAGCUGUUGCCUUUGGAGACACCACAACAAGUUGAGUGGGUGUGUGUGUGUUUGUCCCACAACCGGAAUCGGGCAACGUCUAUAAGGAGAACGAGAUAGAGAGAGAGUUUCAACUUUCGCGAAUAAGAUUUUCGUUUCUCUUUUUCCGAGUAUUUCGUCUGCCAUGGGUUUCGGAUUCAUUUUUCAGAAACGCUGACCCAACCAGGACGAAGGACACGUGCGAUGGGACAACACACUUUGCCCAGCCUUGACGAAAUCGACUAGGAAACUGGUCAGAUAAAAACGGGUGAAAAGGGAAAGGUGAAGCAUAGGGAUUAUGAACGAAGCCUUACCAAAUAAACAAGUACUUUUAUUCAGAAUUCACGGUUAAGGGCCUCCUACUCAACUCGACCAGUCAGAAGUAAUGCUGAUGACUAUACGGCCGACGGCCGUGAUCCUCCACGAAUCCAUUACAAAUUUAAAGUUCAAUUAUAUCCGUCUUCAUCUUCACUAACUAGUCAUGCUGCACAUCAGUAUAUGAUGCGUACAUCAGGUGAAAUCCGUGUAGGCAGACAGGUAAAACACACAGCAAUAGCGCAACUUAAAAAACAUAAUAAACUGCCAUGCGUAUGCGUAAUCCUUAAGAGGUAUCCAACUUGUAUAAUACAUACGUCUUUCUUU